rnacentral:misc_RNA from 1 species
GAUGAAGAACGUAGCGAAAUGCGAUAAUUAAUGUGAAUUGCAGAAUUCAGUGAAUCAUCGAGUCUUUGAACGCACAUUGCGCCCCCUGGUAUUCCGGGGGGCAUGCCUGUCCGAGCGUCAUUGCUGCCCUCAAGCACGGCUUGUGUGUUGGGCUUCCGUCCCUGGCAACGGGGACGGGCCCAAAAGGCAGUGGCGGCACCAUGUCUGGUCCUCGAGCGUAUGGGGCUUUGUCACCCGCUCCCGUAGGUCCAGCUGGCAGCUAGCCUCGCAACCAAUCUUUUUAACAAGGUUGACCUCGGAUCAGGUAGGGAUACCCGCUGAACUUAAGCAUAUCAAUAAGCGGAGGA